GAGAGGGAGGGAGGCACUCCCUGACACUUCCUGCAAGCUGUUGUUACUAAGGCAGCAGAGUAGAAAGAUGAAGUGCAAGGACCUGGAAAUCAGACACACCUGGGUUCCUGGUGAGCUUCACUGCUUCCUGGUCUCUGAUAUCAGCUCUGCCCAAAUUUCAGCUGUCACAGAAUGAGUGAUCCUCAUAGUAUAAUGGAAAUGCAUCAUCUCAGUUUCCCCAUGGCCUGAAUGUCCAUACAAAAUGAGAGCCAGUAGAGAAAAACAGAGGACGUGAGGAGUUUUUAAAAAUUGAGGAAAAGUGGAAGGAAAAGUAAGGAUGAAGGUGAAGAUGAAGGAAUAUGUCAGAGAUGCUAGCACUGGCAUCCCCCACCACACAGUACCAUGUACUGCUAAAGAACUCUAGAACAUACAGGGUGUAGACGGCAGUCUUCUUGGGGAAAAAGAGGCUUCAGGAUUGCAAGAUUUCAGCUACUGUCUCUCCUCGGAGCAGGAUUCCAUCUUUUCCAUGGCUGGGGCCCUUGACACAUGUCACUGUGCACUGCUCUUCUCGCUGGGAAAAGGAAACUGAGGCCCAGAGAGGGCAAGUGAAUUUCCCAAGAGUGUCCAGAUGAUACGGAGCUGAGCUGGAAAGUGAGCCUGGAUCUCUCUGGUUCUGAAAGCUUUGCUCGAAAGCACAGGAUGACACCUCCAUUCAAUCAAUAAGCACUGAGACCCUUCCAUGGACUCAGCAGGUCCUGCUGUCCCUGAAGGUUGACACUCUCAUUUCAAACCACAGCGAGAACCCCAAAAGGAAACAGUGCAAGGAAAAUAAUGUGAUAUUUGAGAGGCAGCAUGGAUUAUUGGGGACAGGGUUCAUGUCCCUUCUCUCCCACACACGUGGCAUGAUGUUAAGCGGGUCACCUCACCUCUCCAGGGUUGUUUCCUCAACUGAGAAAAUGAGGGGGUUGAGAUGAACGCCAGCCCUGGGGUGCUCAAUGCUGCAGUCUAGGGUGGUGUGGACUGGAAUCAGAAUUCUUUCUCCUCCGCUCUGGGUGCUGACACAUGAUCUCUGGCUCUCACUCCCCACCCCUAAUCUUGCCCAUCUGAGUUUCAGGUUAUUUUUUCCUUCCUCCUGCUCUUCAAUUUCCUUAUUGAGGAAGCUCUUUCCUGCUGCCUCUGUCCCCGCUGGAGCUGUUUGAUCCAGUAGAGCCAGUCGAAGCCAAGGGGACCCUGACUUGAAUCUUGCUUUCUGACAUGCUGGCUGUGGCUUGCUUGGGACCUGAAUAAGAGCUUGCUUACUCCCGGUGUUCACCACAGCGGAACCAUGGGUGCAGAAAUGUAAUUCUCAACCAGCCCAGUUUAAUCAGCGAAAGACAAUAGAGCUUGCAGGCGGUGUCAUGCUGAGUAUCUGAACACACCAUGGCUGCUGUCGCCCUUUUCAUUAAAAUGAUUGAAAAUGUAUUUCUAAACAGAAGUGAGGGUCCCUGUCUAAAUCAAGCCGCUGUAUUGGGCUUAUUGUCCCGAUCUGAAGUGCUUCAGCUUCUAGUGCUUCUCAAUAGAAGUUCAUUAUUACAACGAUAAUAACAACUGUAUAGAUACACAGAAAAGAAGUUCCCAUUUCAUAAGGAAAAAAGAAACUCAUUCAAACCAAGAGAGAAUGAAAAUUGCUCUUGUUCAGCAGCUCUACAAUUCCUGCUUUCCCUUUCUGCUGGAAAGGAAGUUGAAUUUAAAAGCUUAUCUUGGUUCGAUUUUCUUUUUCCCUAAACCAAAAUAGAAUAGCUAUUUAGCUUGAAAAUUUGUAAGAGCUCAAGUCAAUUGGUUAACCAAACACACACACACACACACACACACACUUACAUGCGCAUCUUAAUAUCCUCAUUAUAUAAAAUCUCAAUCACCAAAAAUGACCCCCAAAAUUAUAAGACUCCAAUAUAUGAUUGAGCAAAGGACAUAAACAGAUGGUUCAUAAGGAGGAAAGACACAUGAUAAAAAAUAUGAAAAAAUUUUCAACACACAGAUAAUAAAAGAAAUUCAGAUGAUAACGAGAUAUUGUAGGUGCUAAUCAAAGUAUCAAAGAUUUUAAAAAUUAUAGCAAAAGAGUUCCUUGCUUUUGUGUAAUGAGUUCCCAGAUAAUAUGUGAAAUUCACUCAUCCUCUUCCAAAUCAACAUUACUGUCUGUGAAAUGAACAAUACAACCAAGCACACAGAUCCUAGCCUCUGCUGGGAAAAUCCCGUGUAAAUCCACCAUCCUUUUUGUUUCUUAAGUUCCUCCUUGGUAAAAAGUUGUUUGGCUCAUGCCUGUAAUCCCAGCACUUUGGGAGGCCGAGGCAGGCAGAUCACCUGAAGUCAGGAGCUCGAGACCAGCCUGGCCAACAGGGUGAAACCCCAUCUUUACUAAAAAUACAAAAAUUAGCUGGGCGUGGUGGCGAAUGCUUGUGAUCCCAGCUACUUGGGAGGCUGAAGCAGGAGAAUCACUUGAACCCGGGAGGCAGAGGUUGCAGUGAGCCGAGAUCGCGCCACUGCACUCCAGCCUGGGCAGAAGAGUGACACUCCAUCUCAAAAAAAAAAAAAAAAUGUUGUUUGUGUUCAGAUUCUGAAAUUUCACAAUUCUCCCCAGGUACUGUUUUUCUUUGCCCCAAAGCCUUUAAGUCUUCGUUGAUGGAUAUGUAGACACCUAAUAAGUAUUUGACCUGAAAGUGUCUUUCAAAGCAUAGAAUUCAGAUGGUGAUUUUACAAAUGAAGAGAGUGAGGCUCACACAUUCUGAAGGGGGGAGUCAGGCUUUUUACCAUAAAAGUUUUUCCUUGGGGUAAUGGUCAAUAUCCACCAAAAUCCAGGUGGCACAUGCUUGAUACCCUUCUGAAAAGACUUAGUCUACUUCACUACUGGUUUUAGCAGGGUAGAGCCAGGGUCUCAGAACACAAUGAGCUGCUCAGGUGAAAGAAGAUCACACUAGGAUUUCUGCUUUCUAAUGCACCAUCCUUUUUAAAUUUUCAUUUUUCUUACUGUUAUAAUGUAUAGGUUAGUAGAGCACUUUACUUCUUGGGGAUACAUAAUUAAAGUUGUUUUGCUGGUAGGAUAGUGUUAUCAAAAAUUUGCAGGCAGCUGGAAUAGUGAGAUGUGAAUGUGUCUGAUCUCGUGCAAUUCAGGAAGCAGGGCCUUCAGAGUGAAGGGAGGAAGGAAAGCUGGCUGUGGUCAGAGGAGAUGACCAGCAGAGCUCCUAAUAGAGGGCAAGAGUCACCUCCUCACCCCACAGGCUGCAUUGAGACUAAGGCAACUGGAAAGUUCAACUGAAUCACAAGGGCGUGCUGACAUGCUGGGGAAAAGCCAAAAUUUUUAAAGGUCAUCUUGCCAGAAAAGUGGCUGCUGCUUAGGUCCUGUCCUGGCACCCUGGGCCCAGGAUCCCAGGACUCAGCUCAUGGGGAGCAGAGGGCUGUGGCAUGCCAAGUCAAAGGUCUCAUGGAGAUGGUUCCAAUUGGGAAUCAAUGGCAGAGAUGCCAAGACAAGCUAAGGGGCAUGGCAAUCUGAGGAUCCAAGCCACCUAGCACAGACACAGGGACAGGCAAGGGAACUAGAGACCUUAGCAGCUUGUCAGAGGGGAAGCGGAAGGCAGCAGGGGCCCAGAAGCAAACUCCCUAUGUCAGAUAGAGGUGUGUGCAGUGAAAAUGAAGGGGGAACCAGAACCCCUUGCAGGAAAUGUCCAGUGGAACUCCAUGAAGUCCCUCGAGUCGUCUUUGAACCGCUGAGCCAGGUAUUAGAGGACCCACAGCACACUUCUGAGCCUCGUUUCUGUCUCUCUUACCUACCACAAACUCUGGACAAUCAGCUCGCACAUUUGUUCCUUUAUUCCCAAGGAGAACAUGAGGAAAGGACGUAGAUAUCACCCAAAUGUAUAAUUUACCAGGUAAGAAAAGCCCAAUGGCUUUCUAAUUAUUUCUGGAUGUCCCAGCAGCCUCUGUCAGGAGUGCAGGUGUAAGUAGCCUCAUGUGCCUUUGCUCCGGCCUCCUUGUGGGAGUCCAGUACCCCAACCCCAUCUUGGGAGAUGCCGCUGGUCCAACCUCAGGAUCUCCUAAUGGAGUCAAGAGGUAAGGCUGAUUUGAAUUCACCCUUCUUCUCCUUAAAGCUAGUGCAACUCACAGAAAAUUGAGAGCCAAAUGGGAAACAAACUGUCAGUUUUCCUAACGGGUAGGCAGGUGUGUCUUAACCCCCAAGGCUUUCUGGGGGAGCCAGAGAGGAGAAAGUGACUUAGACCUGAGGACAAAGGAGAUCCACCUGCUUCUCUAAUUGUAGACCUUAAGCCUGCCUGUCACAUGGACUGUAGCGUACUGAGCACAGGGGUGGUGCCGGGCAGGUACAGCUCCCAGCACUCUGCUGUGGACAUCCUAACUCGCUAGAAGUUGACUCAGUCACAAACUAUCUAAGUUUAUAGCUGAAGCUCUAGCACCUGUUCUAGAACAGGAGAAUCUGAAGGAGGAGAUGAACUGAAUUUAGCACUGAUUUUCUUUAAAAAUAUUUAUAGAAACUAUAACAUUUCUGAGUUAUCUAGAAAUGUUAUUUUUGUUUAGUUUGGCUUUCUUUUUUUUUGCUUUCAUCUGAAAAUUAAACAUUUUGAGGUAAUUGUAGAUUCACAUGCACUUGUAAGAAAUAAUACAGGGAGAUCCCUCUAUCUUUCACCCAGUUCCUCCAACUUGGUAGUAUCUUGCCAAACCAUUGUACUAUUUCAUACCAGGACAUUGACAUUGAUACCAUCAAAAUACAGACAAUUUCCUUGGCUACAAGAGUCCUCCACAUCCACUUCCCUCCUGCACCCACCCCUUCCUUAAUCCUUGGCAACCACUGUUCUCCAUAUCUAUAAUUUUGUCUUUGCAGGAAUGUUAUAUAAAUGGGAUUAUACAGUAUGUAAUCUUUUGGGAUUGCACUGUUUUUUUAUUUGCAGCAUAAUCCUCUGAAAGUUGUUGCAUGUAUCAAUAGCUUUUUAAUCUUUAUUGCUGAAUGGUAUUCCAGGGUAUGGCGUACUACAGUUUGUUUAACCAUCCACCUGUUGAAGGAUAUCUGGGCCGCUUCCAGUUUGGGCAAUUGCAAGAUGCUACAGACAUUGAUAUACAGGUAUUUUUGAGAACAUAAGAUUUUACUUUAUUUCUCUGAGAUAAAUGCCCAGAAGAGCAUUUGCUGGGUCUUAUGAUAAACGCAUAUUGAAUUUUUUUGCUUUUGAGAUGGAGUCUCAUUCUGUCACCCAGGCUGGAGUGCAGUGGUGUGAUCUUGGCUCACUGGAAUCUUCGCCUCCAGGGUUCAAGUGAUUCUCCUGCCUCAGUCUCCUGAGUAGUUGGGAUUACAGGCACGUGCCACCAUGCCCGGCUAAUUUCUUAUAUUUUUAGUAGAGACGGGUUUUCACCAUGUUGCCCAGGCUGGUCUCAAAAUCCUGAACUCAGGUGAUCUGCCUGCUUCGGUCUCCCAGCUUUGGGAUUACAGGCAUGAGCCACCAUGCCCGGCCAGUUUGGUUUUUUUAAAGGUUGAGUUUUGAGAGUUCUUUAUGUAUAUUCUAGAUGCUAGUUCUUUGUCAAAUACGUGAUUUGAAAAUAUUUUCUCUCAGUCUAUAGCUUGUCUUUUCAUCCUCUUCACAGUGUCUUUCACAGAGCAAAAAUUUUUAAUUGUGAUUUAUCAAGAUUUUCUUUUAAGGAUCACACUUUUGGUGUCAACUCUAUGAAUAUUUUGUCUAGCCCUAGAUCCCC
rnacentral:lncRNA from 10 species